rnacentral:rRNA from 1 species
UACAGAGGGUGCGAGCGUUAAUCGGAAUUACUGGGCGUAAAGCGUGCGUAGACGGUCAUGUAAGUCGGAUGUGAAAGCCCCGGGCUCAACCUGGGAAUUGCAUUCGAGACUGCAUGGCUUGGGUGCGGAAGAGGGAAGCGGAAUUUCCGGUGUAGCGGUGAAAUGCGUAGAUAUCGGAAGGAACACCAGUGGCGAAAGCGGCUUCCUGGUCCGACACCGACGUUCAGGCACGAAAGCGUGGGGAGCAAACAGGG